GUUUUUUACGAUCAAAUUUUUUUUAUCCUUCUCGCUCUCUCUCUCUCUCUCUAUAUCGAUCUCUCUCCAUCGCUCCCUCUCAUAGCUCUUUGUGGUCAUGGCUAUUAAUCAAUUUCAAAACCUUUCUAUUUUUCUAUUAUUUUCUAGGCAACCAAACAGAGUUCUUGACUAGGUUUUUUUUUUUUUUUUUUCCCUGUUUUUUAUGAUUUUCGUUUUGAUUUCCUCAUCAAGUUCAUCGCCGUCGAAUUGAUUUCACCAAGCCGGUACUAUUACAUUCAGAUAUUCACACUUCUCCCUAUCCAAACCCUUCGAUUAGCCAUUUUUUUCUAUUUCUCUCGAUUUCGUAGUUUUAAAAACUUAUUUCUGAUCAGUUUGUUUUUGCUUGGACUCGAAUUGCUUCCAUACUCUGUUAUUCGCUUUGAGUAUUUUGAACUUUUGUGGUUUUUGUUCUUGAAUUUGAAAUGCUAUGUCAAAAUUGAAUUUGUGGUUUUGUGUAUUGCGUGCUUUCAAUGUGAUUGCAGGUGCAUUUGCAUUGGUUAUGGACUUUAUGAGGAAUAUGGCAGAAAGUUUCAAGAAUUGUAAGCAGAGUUGGCUUCUUCUAAUGAACUGCGGCAAAAGCUGGAACGAAAGGUGAGUUAUCUUCAGAAUGACAAUGCUUUGCUCUAGAACAAGCAAAAGGAAUUGAAGGGAACUAUACAAAGCUUACUUCAAUCGAAGGAAAGUUUCGUGAAUGCUUAUGAGGUUUGUAAUCUGUAAUCCUCUAUAUAAUGUGUUGUAAUAAUGAUGGUGAUUAGUUUUCUUAAUUAUAGAUAUUUUUGUGGGGGAGGAGAAGAAGUGGGGUAAGUUAGUAAAAGAGUGGACAUGGAUCGAAUUUGGAUUUUGAGAAAGGGGGAUGGUUGAAAGUGAUUGACAAUGCAUAUGAAGAUGUUAAUUUGAUUGAUUGUGGUGUUAGUGCCUCCCUUUCGGCUUAGUGUCAGUGGCGUAUAAAGAAUUGACUUUAUGAGGAAUUUGGUCUCGUGUAGUCGUUUGCUGUUUGGGCGUUGGAGCUGUAGGUGAAUAUCCUUUUAUAGGAAGAGUUAUAUUUUGAUGAUGUAGUGCAUAACAUGUUUGUUUUCUGAUCGGGGAUUGGUCUGUAGUCCUAGUUUUCAUUGUGCUAUGAUGUAGAUGGGGGUAUAGCCUCGUCUAUUUAUAGUUGUAAUUUCCAAUUUUUUGGUUCUGUUUUGGUUAAGGACUAAAGAUGUUAUUCUUUUUCUAGUGAAAUACUUACUAAAAUUUUUUUACUUGUAUGAGUUGUAUCUAGUGGUGCAAGCCACAAGAAUUAAUUGAAUCACGGGUUUACAACCUCAGUACUCACUUUGAAGUCUAAACUGAUCUUCCUUACCUUUUUGUCAUCCCAUCAGUUGCAAGAGUUGAAGCUGCGGGUAUCAGGCAACUUGGACAAUCCCUUUCUAAACCCUGGCAUAUCUGAGAAGCAACUGUUGCAUGUUAUGAUGGUUGAACCUAAAGUCUCAAACAAAUCAUGUUUUACGCAAGAGCUUAUCUCAACUAUCUUAUUUACUAUAGCUCUUGGAUUAGUAUGGUAUGAACCUUCUGUUCCUCAAGUCUCUCUCUCUCUCUCUCUCUCUUCACACACACACACAGAGUACCUAGUAAUUAGUGCUUGUUUGUAUACUUGAGUUUUACUCACUCCAAACUUGAUCUGUUUCCAUGAAAAUAAAAGAAGAGAGGAGGUGGGGGGUGGGGUGCUCCAAAUGGUGUGUGAAAUCUAAUACUCUAAUUUGGUUUCCCUUGUUGUAAUGGUGUCUGUAUCAAUGUUAUAUGCAUGGAUUUAUACUGAAGUAAAUGUCUAUAACUUAUUUUCAUGCGUGUAUGGGCUUCCAUCACAUCUUCCUUUUGCCUAUUGGUUUCUUUGAUAUUCAAUAGGAUGUUCAUGCCAAUGAGCUCUAGCUCAAAUGGAACCUCCUCUUGUAAAAGCAUUGUGGAUGGUGGGGUCAUGGGUUCAAGACCCACCAGGUGCCAUUUAUGUUGUCCUUGGGUGGAUAUGCACUUGUUAAAGUGGAUGUAUGUGCUUUAUGAGUAAGGAAAAUAUUGGAGGGAUGGGGUGUCCUCUACAGUGAAGUACAUGAGGAAAGGAUGCAUCAUCUUUUUUUCAAUGAUACUAGCUUUUGUCAUGGGCCUAGCCUUCUUGUUGGGAAGCGACACUUCUCCAUAAAUCUGUUACUUGAGGAUAAUUGAUGGAGCACAGUGUUUUUUAAUUUUUUUUCUUUUAAUUAGCCAUUUUGAAAACUUGGAACUAUUUGAAUACUUAAAAAAAUUAUUCUGGUGCUUUAGUUUUUAUAUGAGAAUGGAGUUUAAUUUGGAAUUGCACAA